UUUUGCCUACGGGACGCAGCAGUGGGGAAUAUUGCGCAAUGGGCGAAAGCCUGACGCAGCGACGCCGCGUGAGGGAUGAAGGUCUUCGGAUCGUAAACCUCUGUCAGCAGGGAAGAACGGUCACUGUGCUAAUCAGCAGUGAAUUGACGGUACCUGCAAAGGAAGCACCGGCUAACUCCGUGCCAGCAGCCGCGGUAAUACGGAGGGUGCGAGCGUUAAUCGGAAUUACU
rnacentral:rRNA from 1 species